AAAUUGAAGAGUUUGAUCAUGGCUCAGAUUGAACGCUGGCGGCAGGCCUAACACAUGCAAGUCGAACGGUAACAGAAAGCAGCUUGCUGCUUUGCUGACGAGUGGCGGACGGGUGAGUAAUAUCUGGGAAACUGCCUGAUGGAGGGGGAUAACUACUGGAAACGGUAGCUAAUACCGCAUAACGUCGCAAGACCAAAGAGGGGGACCUUCGGGCCUCUUGCCAUCGGAUGUGCCCAGAUGGGAUUAGCUUGUUGGUGGGGUAACGGCUCACC
rnacentral:rRNA from 1 species